UACGUAGGGGGCAAGCGUUGUCCGGAAUCAUUGGGCGUAAAGAGCGUGUAGGCGGCCUGGUAAGUCCGCUGUGAAAGUCCAGGGCUCAACCCUGGGAUGCGGGUGGAUACUGCCGGGCUCGAGUCCGGAAGAGGCGAGUGGAAUUCCCGGUGUAGCGGUGAAAUGCGCAGAUAUCGGGAGGAACACCAAUGGCGAAGGCAGCUCGCUGGGACGUGACUGACGCUGAGACGCGAAAGCGUGGGGAGCAAACAGG
rnacentral:rRNA from 1 species